rnacentral:ncRNA from 1 species
AUAAGCAGCUUGAGUAGUACUUAAAUGUGUAACAAAAGCGUACCUUUUGCAUAAUGGGUCGGCAAGUUAAUUUUAGAUGCAAGCAGAAUGUUGAUAAAAAACUAAAUAUGGAAACAAUAAACUGCCUAGAAAAUUCGAUUAAAAAAAUGAAAAGUAUCUAAGAUUAGACCCGGAAACUGGUGAUCUUACUACUGUCAGGAUUACAAAAGUCCGUACGGGUUAUCGUUGUAUUGAUAUCCGAGGAAUGGUGGUAAGUUAGUGAAAGACAAUACUGACCAGUUUAGCUGGUUUUCCGCGAAACCUAUUUAAGUAGGUGGUUUAAAUUACAUCUUGGAAGGUACAGAACUGUGAUCUCGCUCAAAUAUACAUAAUAUGUAUAUUUGUUUAUAUCGGGGGAUCGUAAAGAUUUUAUCGGAGAGUAUUUGCACUCGGAAGGUCUAAGAUGAAUAUUAAAUUAUCGGACAUAGUACUAUAAGGUUGUAUGUCUAAAGGGAAACAGCCCAGAACAAGAAUUAAUAAGGUUCCAAAAUUAUUGUUGAGUGAAAUUAAGGAUGUAUUUUUUUAUACGAUCAGGGAAUAGGCUUAGAAGCGGCCAUUUUUUGAAGACCUCGUAACAGAGCACUGAUUUUUAGAAAAUUAUACCGAAAAUAUAACGGAUCUAAAUAAUAUACCGAAAUCUUGUCCAUAUA